GAGGAUGACCAGCCACACUGGAACUGAGACACGGUCCAGACUCCUACGGGAGGCAGCAGUGGGGAAUAUUGCACAAUGGGCGCAAGCCUGAUGCAGCCAUGCCGCGUGUGUGAAGAAGGCCUUCGGGUUGUAAAGCACUUUCAGCGAGGAGGAAGGUGGUGAGCUUAAUACGUUCAUCAAUUGACGUUACUCGCAGAAGAAGCACCGGCUAACUCCGUGCCAGCAGCCGCGGUAAUACGGAGGGUGCAAGCGUUAAUCGGAAUUACUGGGCGUAAAGCGCACGCAGGCGGUUUGUUAAGUCAGAUGUGAAAUCCCCGGGCUCAAC
rnacentral:rRNA from 1 species